rnacentral:rRNA from 1 species
UACGUAGGGUGCGAGCGUUAAUCGGAAUUACUGGGCGUAAAGGGUGCGCAGGCGGCGUCGCAAGCCAGGCGUGAAAUCCCCGGGCUUAACCUGGGAACUGCACUUGAAACUACGAUGCUGGAGUAUGGCAGAGGGAGGUGGAAUUCCACGUGUAGCGGUGAAAUGCGUAGAGAUGUGGAGGAACACCGAUGGCGAAGGCAGCCUCCUGGGCCAAUACUGACGCUCAUGCACGAAAGCGUGGGGAGCAAACAGG